rnacentral:SRP_RNA from 1 species
GGGCGGGCUCUGUACGGCAGGGUACCGUGAACCAUGUCAGGCGGGGAACCGAGCAGCAUUAAGCGGAUUUCCCUGUGCGAUACAGGCGGUCUGGUCGUC